rnacentral:rRNA from 1 species
AAGACUNUCGGGUNGUAAGCUGUGUUGUUAGGAAGAACAAGUGCUUAGUCAAUAAGGUGCACCUUCACGAUNCCUAGCCAAAAACCCUCGCAUCACUCCGUGCCAGCAGNCGCGGUAAUACGUAGGUGGCAAGCGUUAUCCGUAAUUAUUGGGCGUAAAGUUUGCGCAGUUGGUUUUUUAAGUCUGAGGUGAAACCCCGCGGCUCAACCGUGGAGGGUCAUUGGAAACUGGGAGACUUGAGUGCAGAAGAGCAAAGUGGAAUUCCAUGUGUAGCGAGUGAAAUGCGUAGCGAUAUGGAGGAACACCAGUGUCGAAGGCGACUUUCUNGGUCUGUACCUGACACUGAGGCGCGAAAGCGUGGGGAGCAACCAGGAUUAGAUACCCUGGUAGUCCACACCGUAAACGAUGAGUGCUAACUGUUAGAGGGUUUCCGCCCUUUAGUCAUGAAGUUAACGCAUUAAGCACUCCGCCUGGGGAGUUCGACCUCAAGGCUGAAACUCAAAGGAAUUGCCGGGGGCCCACCCAAGCGGUGGAUUCAUGUGGUUUAAUUCGAACCAACGCGAAGAACGCUUAUCAGGUCUUGACAUCCUUGAAAAGCCCUUAGAGAUAGGA